rnacentral:rRNA from 1 species
UACGUAGGGGGCUAGCGUUGUCCGGAAUCAUUGGGCGUAAAGAGCGCGUAGGCGGCUAGAUAAGUCCGGUGUGAAAGUCACAGGCUCAACCUGUGAAUGCCGCUGGAAACUGUCUGGCUAGAGUCCGGAAGGGGCGAGUGGAAUCCCUGGUGUAGCGGUGAAAUGCGCAGAUAUCAGGAGGAACACCAAUGGCGAAGGCAGCUCGCUGGGACGGUACUGACGCUGAGGCGCGAAAGCGUGGGGAGCAAACAGG